rnacentral:lncRNA from 1 species
GAGGGAGCCCGCUCAGGCCUCAGCCAGCACAGAGAGGGGCUCCCACGGUGCAGCUGCGGGCUGAAGGGCUCCUCAAGCGCGGCCAGAGUGGGCUGAGGCCGAGGAGGCGCCGAGAGCCAGCGAGGGAUGCCAGCAAGCUGUCACCUCUCAGAAAUCCAGGAAGAACAUCAAUAAUGUUCGAAGUUAUAAAUUGCGGAGGCCAGAAGUCAGAAAACAAGGUGUCUGCAGGACCAACCUCUCCUCUGGAUGCUCUAGCUCUAGCAGAUGCCACAUAGUGUAGAGAUAAGCUCUCUCUGUCAUUCUCUGUCAAAAUUGUAAAAUCAUAAGCAAAUAAAUAAUCACGGUUGCUUCAAGUUACUACAUUUGAGCAUAGUAUUUUAAGCCACUGCAUUUGAGAUGGUUUGUUAUACAGCAAUAGAUAACUAAAAAACGAAGUCCCUUGAUUUAGACUUGGCCACUCAACUUGCUUGGCCAAUGGAAUGGGGUAGAAGUGAUGGUGUGCUUAUUCCCAGCCUGGGCCUUAAAAGGCUUUGCCUAUUUCCACUUGCCUUCUUGUACCUCUGCUAUUGUCAUAAGAAAAACAAACCCCAGGUCACCCACCGGUCUGAAGAGGAGGAUGAGAGACAAAGAAAAAAGUUGUCUGGCUGCCUCUGCUGUCUACAGAUUGAAGAAGAUCCAUCCAGCUGAGCCCAGCCUAGACCAGCUGACUUCUCCAAUAAGCCUGUAUGAAAUAAAUGCUUAUUGUUAUGUG